rnacentral:misc_RNA from 1 species
UUUUGGCUAAUGGUGGCCUUCCUUGCAUUUGAGCUUGGUUGGUGGUUGUUAGCUGGGUGGUUUCGGGGAUGUCUACCGUAAAGGUGCAUGAGUGGUGUUUGGUUUGUUACGGGUGGUUGGCUCUUUGCUUGCGCAACAACUUCCACCUGGCAUACCUCUUCAGUUUUGUGUCAAUGCUUGUAUCGCAUUGAAUGCACGGUGGGUUUCUUGUGUUGCAUGCCUAAUUGAUGGUAUCGUUUGACGAAUCGAUGUUUAUUUUCGUCUUGUGUUGCACAUGCGAUGCGAGAUGAACCUUAAAGUAGCCUUUGUGAUCCACUCUUUUGAUGCACAUGCAUCGAUUUUGUGGCUCAUUGAGUGUUUGCUUGGUCUCAUGGAUAUGGAACCUUGUGUGGGCAUGUGAUCUUUUAGUAGCUCCUUGUUUGCCCUAGUUAAGCUUUUCAAAUACGAUUUCCUAUCAUGUUCUAACGUGGUAGGCUAUAUCGAAUAUGAAUG